rnacentral:rRNA from 1 species
UACGUAGGGUGCGAGCGUUGCCCGGAUUUAUUGGGCGUAAAGGGCGCGUAGGCGGCCACGCACGUCCGUUGUGAAAUCGCCCGGCUUAACUGGGCGGGGUCAGCGGAUACGGUGUGGCUCGAGCAAGCUAGGGGGCAAUGGAAUUCCCGGUGUAGUGGUGGAAUGCGUAGAUAUCGGGAGGAACACCAGUGGCGAAGGCGGUUGCCUGGAGCUUUGC